CUCUGCUUGGUCUCCAGCUGCUCCUGGUUCACUGUACACAGAUGCACACAAAACGAGGCGAUGUAUUGACUCCUGCCCUGUACAUCUGAGGCAAUUGCCUCAGUCCUUCAUGCACAUAAUUCGGGCUAAAAAAAGCACAUGUACACACUGCUUGACCUUUACAGUCGUGGAUGCAGAAUCAAAGGUUAUAGGUGAGAUCGUGCUGAAUUUCGCUGACAAACUUCUGGGCAUAUUCAGGAUAGAGGCGCAGCACUUCACGCAGUCCCUUUAGGCUGAUGUACUGCAGGUCACAAUAUGUCAGUGCUUUCACAUUUGCGUUGGUCUUGAUCACCUGCUCUUUUGUCAGCGAAUCCGAUCCAAUCAGGUCUCCCUUUCCUGUUUGAGAAAAGCAUUUUAUGUUUGAAAAUGAGGGGCACACGAGGCAGCAUAGAGGCUAAAAAAUAUGUUCUAGUUUGGUGCAAAGGGACUAUGAAAGCAGUGACAAAUUCUGAAGUGUGCAAAAGUAUCUCAGCAGUGCAUUCUGGGAAGGCACACCGGUUGGCACACAUUGGAGGCAACUGAGUUCAGCAGUGCUGGAGAGAGAUGGGUGGUAGGAUGCAUCUUUCAUCAAGUAAGCAGGUGUAGUAAUUAUGCAAGGAAUAUGUGUUUGUUUGCAUGUUUGUACUGUCAUGUUUACAAGAGCUCUAUGCAUCUUAUCUAUUAGAUAACAUGGCAGAUUUGUUGCUCUUUUACCCCUUCUUCUCUUCUGCUUCCCUAUAUGAGCAAAUCCAUGUUUGUACAUUGACGAAGUAGCCAUGUAUUCUGCCAAAAAUGUAAAACUAUGCAAACUAUGCAUCAAUUAAAAAAAUCAUAUUUUCAUAUUUUUUUUUUAUUACACGACUUAUUUUGA